CUGUCAUUCAAAACACAACAGAGAAUGGAUCGAGAAUCAAAUUCAAAAACAUUCAAUCUUGUUGAGACAAAAUGAGACAAAAUUAGGAUUCAUAUAUUAUAAAAUCUUAUUGGAUGAUGAAGGUAAUGAUGCCAACCCAUGUUUACAGCUCCGGUGGAGUAUUGCCGAUGAACUCAGGUCAACGCAUAUCGCUAAAAUAACUUCAUCACGGAUAUAACUAAGUUGAACGGGUAAACAAACUCAAACAUAUUAUGGUUGAUGCCAUUAGAAUUAGGUGUUGCUGCUUCCCUUGUAGAGCGCGGGUGUGACGAAUGUUCCGAUGGAGAAAUUUGCAGCUGUCAGGAUUUCACUGCCCAGUUUCCUAUAUUUUCGAGCGGUUAUAGGCUCAAUUACCUGUAUUGAGUGAAACGGCAUCACUGCAGCGAUUGAUUUUCUCUUUCUCGCUGAACCGCAAAACACGGAUGCGAACAUUAUAAUAUUGAAGAAACAGUCUCAAAUAUCAACUGGUUUUUGUGUACUUAUUUUGCAGUUAGAAUACUUAUCGAUGCGGAAAAUAUUGCUAAAGUUUCUCUGCCUCGGAAGCAAGCAAAUAAAAAAACAGCAUAAGGAAUUCCCAAAUCGAAUUAUGGACAGAAUUGAAUUCCACGAUGGCACAAUGGCAAAAUAAUGUUCCAUUAUUAUUGAGAGUAGCAGGAACAGCGAAAACAUGCAACUGAUUUGGAUGAUUGAAAGGAAGCUUAUGUGUAGUUUUAUCCCAAAUUCAACAAACGGCGAACAUCCUAGAAAAUAUAGCGAGUCAAAACAUUUUUUUUAAUCUUUAUUUUUGAGACUUUCAGCCUCCUGGGCUGGUUCGUCUCAGGAGUCAAAACAUUAAAGAAAAUUUAAGCAUUAAAUUUGACAAUUUGCACUUGACGAACAAUCGGGAAUGGCGAAGCUCUAGGAAGCGAAAAAACAGAAUGCUGGAUGCUGCGUAAGGUAUUUGGGAGAUCAUCGGUGCUCAAUACAAUACUGUACGUUCAGAAGAACAAGUGGCACUUGAAUAAUUGACAAGCACAAAUCCAUAUAUUAUUUUUGAUUAUGAGGAUGUGCCACUUUACUUCAAGAAAUCAACGCAAUCUCUAUGUUUCCUAUAAUCCCUAUAUAGAAAUAUAUGAAAAUGUAGAAUAGGUGGUUUAUUGCAAGUCUGUUUAACAGAAAACUGAAUUCGUAUCCAUGAUUCAACGUAUCCAACGUAUCCCGUAUCAAUGAUUUAUGCUAAAUGCUCCUGCUGUCGAUAUGGAGCACGAAUGUGACGAACACAAUCGAACGAGGAAAUUUCUGAUGAUUGAAAGCACCUGUUGGAAUUUCGUUUAUGACGAUACAAACGCUACGAAUGGUAUAGGAUAUCGUAACAGUGAAGAUUAACUGCUAUUCUAAGAGGUCGUUAUGUCUAGAUUUUUGCAUAUGGAUGCUGAGCAUGUUUUGCUUAUGAUCGAUGAGCUAGAGAAACGCCGGGCAAUAGCGACUAAAACGCACAAACACUAGAGCCUUCAGAUUAUUGUAUUUUUUAUAUUUUCAUCUUUGUAAUCUUAUAAUUUAUAGAUUUCACUAUAAUAACUAUUAUAACAAGAACAAAAUAAUUUUUU